AUGAAGAAAAUAAGGGCGUACAGUGGAUGCCUUGGCACUAAGAGCCGAUGAAGGACGCAAUUAACGGCGAUACGUCAUGGGUAAUUGUAAAUAAAUGAAGAUCCAUGAAUUUCCGAAUGGGGAAACCUACUAUAAUAAACUUAUAGUUUUUUUGAUGUUAAAGUCAAAAAAGGGAACGCAGUGAACUGAAAUAUCUAAGUAACUGUAGGAAAAGAAAGUAACAACGAUUCUGGUAGUAGCGACGAGCGAAACAAUCACUAGU
rnacentral:rRNA from 1 species